GCACGUAUACUUGAGGGAACUGAGUACCAAAAGUGCCUCGGAUCAUGUGGUGCUUGUUGUACAAGACGGAAGGGAACAACAGUAGCUACACAGACAACAGCAUCGGACUUCAGAUCUGCUGGCUUGGUCAGCACCUCCACCCAAUGCAACAUGGAGCUGGAGCGGUUGGUAGCUCUAAGGUCGACCGCUGUGCAAACGGAUGACGCCACUCCUGCCAUGGCAGCCCCC